AGUUGCCAAGGAUGCUGCAAAAGAUAUGACAAGUGAUUGCGAAAGACGGACUGGCAUAGAGGUUAAGAGUAUGAACUCCAAAGUCACCGGCCUAGUUUAGAAGAUCCUGGUUUGCCAAUUGCAAGAUGAGAAGACGGAGGCAACAGAGGAAGGAUGACAAAGAGACUCCAGGGUGAACUUUCAGGAACAAUCCCCCAAACCACACCACAGAAUUGGGAUAACAAGGAAAACUCAGCUUCUGCCACCAUCAGGAGGCUGUAGAAUCACAAAGCUUCUAUUACUUCAGAACCACACUACCUCGGCCAUGAUCUGGAAGGUGUCAAGUCACAAGGCCUGCAAAUAAAGCAGGAAGCUGACACCAUGCCUCUGCCGUGAUUUAAGCCCGCAAAAUGGAAACCUCUGUCCCAUCCUAUUUUUAUAUAUAACUCAGUUCCUUGUCAAAGCUACCAACAAUUUAUCUAUUUAGAAGACCCUAAGUCAUACUUGGGACCCA
rnacentral:lncRNA from 10 species